AUUGAACGCUGGCGGAAUGCUUUACACAUGCAAGUCGAACGGCAGCACGGGGGCAGCCCUGGUGGCGAGUGGCGAACGGGUGAGUAAUACAUCGGAACGGGCCCGGUCGUGGGGGAUUACGUAGCGAAAGUUACGCUAAUACCGCAUACGAGCUGAGGAUGAAAGCGGGGGAACUUCGGGCCUCGCGCGAUGGGAGCGGCCGAUGUCAGAGUAGGGAGUUGGUGGGGUAAAGGCCUACCAAGCCGACGAGCUGUAGCUGGCCGGAGAGGACGACCAGCCACACUGGGACUGGGCAACGGCCCAGACUCCUACGGGAGGCAGCAGUGGGGAAUUUUGGACAAUGGGCGCAAGCCUGAUCCAGCCAGUCCGCGUGCAGGACGAAGGCCUUCGGGUUGUAAACUGCUUUUGUACGGAACGAAAAGGCUCUGGCUAAUACCUGGGGCUCAUGACGGUACCGUAAGAAUAAGCACCGGCUAACUACGU
rnacentral:rRNA from 1 species